rnacentral:rRNA from 1 species
UAGGGAAUCUUCCGCAAUGGGCGAAAGCCUGACGGAGCAACGCCGCGUGAGUGAUGAAGGUCUUCGGAUCGUAAAACUCUGUUAUUAGGGAAGAACAAAUGUGUAAGUAACUAUGCACGUCUUGACGGUACCUAAUCAGAAAGCCACGGCUAACUACGUGCCAGCAGCCGCUUUAAUACGUAGGUGGCAAGCGUUAUCCGGAAUUAUUGGGCGUAAAGCGCGCGUAGGCGGUUUUUUAAGUCUGAUGUGAAAGCCCACGGCUCAACCGUGGAGGGUCAUUGGAAACUGGGAAACUUGAGUGCAGAAGAGGAAAGUGGAAUUCCAUGUGUAGCGGUGAAAUGCGCAGAGAUAUGGAGGAACACCAGUGGCGAAGGCGACUUUUUGGUCUGUAACUGACGCUGAUGUGCGAAAGCGUGGGGAUCAAACAGG